UUUGAGGAAAACCAUGCAGCUUGAAACACUUAUCAAUUAAGUGUCCAGACUUCUUGCAAUAUCUGCAAAACAAGUUUCCUCUAUUUUGUUCAAAAUUGACUUUAGGUCUGAAGUUAGAACCAGACAAUUUACCCUGGUUGAACCCAACAGAGGGCCUGCCAGUGUGAACAUUAAAAGACAUAGAGUCUGGGCUCAUAUGGGAGACAGACU
rnacentral:lncRNA from 1 species